AGGUGUGAGGGUGAUCUGGCUUCGACAUCUGUCAUUGAUUGCCAGGGUUGUUUGGUUGAUCUGGCUGGUUAGGCAGGUGUCCCCUUCUCCCCUCACCACUCUGUGUGCCUCCCUCUGAAAGCUGCACACUCGGUCCAAGAGGAUGACCAUCCCCAACAGAAGAGGACUGGUCUUCAGUCAAGGGCAUAUGAGUAGCUGCACUUCUCUGAUAGAACCUCCAAACAGGCUCUGAAAAAAAUGAUGGCAUUUUCUAAUGUCAACUAAUAAUGUGGAGAGAGUACUGGAAUUAAAUCAUCAUUUUGCAAAAAUUAUAAUAAAACUGGUCAGGCAGGGAUCAUCAAUGGAUAUUAAUUG
rnacentral:snRNA from 1 species